rnacentral:tRNA from 1 species
AUUUGAAUAACUUAAAUAGAGUAUUAUAUUGAAGAUAUAAAAGUAGUUUUAUUAGACUUUCAAAUA